rnacentral:rRNA from 1 species
UACGUAGGGGGCAAGCGUUGUCCGGAAUCAUUGGGCGUAAAGGGCGCGCAGGUGGCUCUGUAUGUCUGCCGUGAAAGCAUACAGCUCAACUGUAUUGUGUCGGUAGAAACUGCAGGACUUGAGGCUGGGAGGGGCUGGUGGAAUUCCCUGUGUAGCGGUGAAAUGCGUAGAGAUGGGGGAGAACACUCGUGGCGAAGGCGGCCAGCUAGACCAGUUCUGACACUGAGGCGCGACAGCGUGGGGAGCAAACAGG